AGCAAGCACCGGCUAACUCCGUGCCAGCAGCCGCGGUAAUACGGGGGGUGCAAGCGUUACUCGGAAUCACUGGGCGUAAAGAGCAUGUAGGCUGAUUAGUAAGUUGGAAGUGAAAUCCUAUGGCUCAACCAUAGAACUGCUUCCAAAACUGCUUAUCUAGAGUAUGGGAGAGGUAGAUGGAAUUUCUGGUGUAGGGGUAAAAUCCGUAGAGAUCAGAAGGAAUACCGAUUGCGAAGGCGAUCUACUGGAACAUUACUGACGCUGAGAUGCGAAAGCGUGGGGAGCAAACAGGAUUAGAUACCCUGGUAGUCCACGCCCUAAACGAUGCACACUAGUUGUUGCUAUGCUAGACAUAGCAGUAAUGCAGUUAACACAGUAAGUGUGCCGCCUGGGGAGUACGGUCGCAAGAUUAAAACUCAAAGGAAUAGACGGGGACCCGCACAAGCGGUGGAGCAUGUGGUUUAAUUCGACGAUACGCGAAGAACCUUACCUGGCCUUGACAUAGUAAGAAUCUAAUAGAGAUAUAAGAGUGCUAGUUUACUAGAGCUUACAUACAGGUGCUGCACGGCUGUCGUCAGCUCGUGUCGUGAGAUGUUGGGUUAAGUCCCGCAACGAGCGCAACCCUCGUGUUUAGUUACUAACAGUUCGGCUGAGGACUCUAGACAGACUGCCUGGGUAACCAGGAGGAACGUGAGGACGACGUCAAGUCAUCAUGGCCCUUACGGCCAGGGCUACACACGUGCUACAAUGGGGUAUACAAAGAGCCGCGAUACCGUGAGGUGAGCAAUCUCAUAAAAUAUCUCCCAGUUCGGAUUGAAGUCUGCAACUCGACUUCAUGAAGUUGGAAUCGCUAGUAAUCGUAGAUCAGCAAUGCUACGGGAAUACGUUCCCGGGUCCUGUACUCACCGCCCGUCACACCAUGGGGAGUUGAUUUCAUU
rnacentral:rRNA from 1 species